UCCCAAAUAGUCUAGGCGGUUAGGAUACGUGGCUUUCACCCACGCGACCCGGGUUCGAUUCCGGUUUGGGAA
rnacentral:tRNA from 1 species